rnacentral:rRNA from 1 species
CCCUUAGAUGUUCUGGGCCGCACGCGCGCUACACUGAUGCAUUCAACGAGCACCCGCUGGGCCGAGAGGUCCGGCUAAUCUUUGAACGUGCAUCGUGCUGGGGAUAGAUGAUUGCAAUUAUUCAUCUUCAACGAGGAAUUCCUAGUAAACGCAUGUCAUCAGCUUGCAUUGAUUACGUCCCUGCCCUUUGUACACACCGCCCGCCGCACCUACCGAUUGAAUGGUCCGGUGAAAUUCUCGGACGCGGACUUGCGAUGUUAAUUCGGAGCUUGACUGUGAAAGUUAAUUAAACCUUACCAUUUAGAGGAAGGUGAAGUCGUAACA